rnacentral:rRNA from 1 species
GAUGAACGCUGGCGGCGUGCCUAAUACAUGCAAGUCGAGCGAACAGACGAGGAGCUUGCUCCUCUGACGUUAGCGGCGGACGGGUGAGUAACACGUGGAUAACCUACCUAUAAGACUGGGAUAACUUCGGGAAACCGGAGCUAAUACCGGAUAAUAUAUUGAACCGCAUGGUUCAAUAGUGAAAGACGGUUUUGCUGUCACUUAUAGAUGGAUCCGCGCCGCAUUAGCUAGUUGGUAAGGUAACGGCUUACCAAGGCAACGAUGCGUAGCCGACCUGAGAGGGUGAUCGGCCACACUGGAACUGAGACACGGUCCAGACUCCUACGGGAGGCAGCAGUAGGGAAUCUUCCGCAAUGGGCGAAAGCCUGACGGAGCAACGCCGCGUGAGUGAUGAAGGUCUUCGGAUCGUAAAACUCUGUUAUUAGGGAAGAACAAAUGUGUAAGUAACUAUGCACGUCUUGACGGGACCUAAUCAGAAAGCCACGGCUAACUACGC